CUGACCAAUCAAUGCCAAAGGGGGAGAGUGUUAGAAUCUCGAGCUUCACAAGAAUAUAAAAGGAGGAGCUAAUGCCGACGUUAUUUGCUGAGUCUCUUAUCACGUGGAUAAUUUACCACGUUUUCAUCCACCGCCUUCCAUGUCUAUCAAGCCGAGUAAGCAAAGGGGAAGAAUGAAUGCAUUUACAAGAGGAGCUGCCUAAGGAUCAUUCACAGAGGGAGAUACACAUGCAGGGGGAGCUGACUCCGUUGUGAACCACCUGCCAAAGCCACUACUGUGGGAACAGUUGCUGAAACUGUGGCACUUACUGUUGCAGCAGUUGAUGCCACUCUUGUUGUUGAAAAGAGUUGAUGAUGAUCUUUCGUUUUAUUUGCUUCGGUCUAAUCAUCUGAUUGUUUUAUUUUCAGGUUUUUUACUCAGCGGGACAAAAUAAUUAUAAUCAAUAAACGACAAAGGGGGAGAUUGUUAGAAUCCUAUGGAUUCUAAUUGUACGAGAAUUAAUAAAACUUGUGCCACAAGUUUUCAUAUACCCUGAGCUAAAGAAGGGAAGAGUCCUUGUAGCUUUUAAUUCUUUUAAUUUGUCAUUAAUUGAUUUAUAAUAGGAAUUAUUCUUCUAAAGAGUUUCCUUGUUUUGAAAAUAUUAUUUCCUACGUAAUUAAGAGUUUCCUAACCCUAAUGGACUCUUUUUUCCUUGUAGGAUUCUUAUAACAUGUAGAAGUAUAAAUACAGCAAUACGGCGCCUCAGAUCUCACGUCUUCCUAGAGAGAAAAAUUUACGCAGAAUAUUUUCUUUACUCUCGUUUUUAUUGGCGUCGUUUUGGAGAGAAGCCGAUCUCUCUUUUCUUGGUUGCUGUAGCACGCCUUUUGUUGGAGA